rnacentral:rRNA from 1 species
UUCGCAAUGCCCGAAAGGGUGACGAAGCGACGCCGCGUGUGGGAAGAAGGCCUUCGGGUUGUAAACCACUGUCGGGAGUUAAGAAGUGUAGGGGGGUUAAUAGUCUCCUUACUUGACGUUAGCUCCGGAGGAAGCCACGGCUAACUCUGUGCCAGCAGCCGCGGUAAUACAGAGGUGGCAAGCGUUGUUCGGAAUUAUUGGGCGUAAAGAGCACGUAGGCGGCCCUGCAAGUCAGCUGUGAAAUCCUUCUGCUCAACGGAAGAACGGCAGUUGAUACUAUAGGGCUCGAGUGCGGGAGGGGAGAGUGGAACUUCUGGUGGAGCGGUGAAAUGCGUAGAUAUCAGAAGGAACAUCGGCGGCGAAGGCGACUCUCUGGCCCGUAACUGACGCUGAGGUGCGAAGGCUAGGGGAGCAAACGGGAUUAGAUACCCCGGUAGUCCUAGCCGUAAACGAUGGGCACUAAGUAGAGGGGUU